GACGAACGCUGGCGGCGUGCCUAACACAUGCAAGUCGAACGGAGAUACGAUUUCGGUUGUAUCUUAGUGGCGAACGGGUGAGUAACGCGUGAGCAACCUGACCUUUAGAGGGGGAUAACACUUGGAAACAGGUGCUAAUACCGCAUAAGACCACGACCCGACAUCGGGAUGAGGUCAAAGGAGUAAUCCGCUAGAGGAGGGGCUCGCGUCCCAUUAGAUAGAUGGCGGGUAACGGCCCACCAUGUCGACGAUGGGUAGCCGAGCUGAGAGGCUGAUCGGCCACACUGGAACUGAGACACGGUCCAGACUCCUACGGGAGGCAGCAGUGGGGAAUAUUGGGCAAUGGGCGCAAGCCUGACCCAGCAACGCCGCGUGAGGGAAGAAGGCCUUCGGGUUGGAAACCUCUGUCCUUGGUGACGAAAAAAUGACGGUAGCCAAGGAGGAAGCCCCGGCUAACUACGUGCCAGCAGCCGCGGUAAU
rnacentral:rRNA from 1 species